rnacentral:tRNA from 1 species
CCCCUUGUGGCGGAACAGGCAGACGCGCUCGGCUCAAACCCGGGUUCCAGUAAGGAGUAUGAGUUCGACUCUCAUCAAGGGGA